GAUGAACGCUGGCGGCGUGCCUAAUACAUGCAAGUCGAGCGAACAGACGAGGAGCUUGCUCCUCUGACGUUAGCGGCGGACGGGUGAGUAACACGUGGAUAACCUACCUAUAAGACUGGGAUAACUUCGGGAAACCGGAGCUAAUACCGGAUAAUAUAUUGAACCGCAUGGUUCAAUAGUGAAAGACGGUUUUGCUGUCACUUAUAGAUGGAUCCGCGCCGCAGUAGCUAGUUGGUAAGGUAACGGCUUACCAAGGCGACGAUGCGUAGCCGACCUGAGAGGGUGAUCGGCCACACUGGAACUGAGACACGGUCCAGACUCCUACGGGAGGCAGCAGUGGGGAAUCUUCCGCAAUGGGCGAAAGCCUGACGGAGCAACGCCGCGUGAGUGAUGAAGGUCUUCGGAUCGUAAAGCUCUGUUAUUAGGGAAGAAAAAAUGUGUGAGUAACUAUGCACGUCUUGACGGUACCUAAUCAGAAAGCCACGGCUAACUACGUG
rnacentral:rRNA from 1 species